rnacentral:misc_RNA from 1 species
GACGGAGGGGGCUAGCGUUGUUCGGAAUUACUGGGCGUAAAGGGCGCGUAGGCGGCAAAUCAAGUUAGGCGUGAAAUCCCCGGGCUUAACCCGGGAACUGCGUUUAAUACUGAUUAGCUAGAGAUCGGUAGAGGAAAGUGGAAUUCCUAGUGUAGAGGUGAAAUUCGUAGAUAUUAGGAAGAACACCAGAGGCGAAGGCGACUUUCUGGGCCGAUACUGACGCUGAGGCGCGAAAGCGUGGGGAGCAAACAGG